rnacentral:lncRNA from 1 species
UUUUGGCCACCAAAAAUCACGGAAAAACUAUAUCUUUGCUCCAAAAUCAUCACUCAUGUAUUAUUUAACAACAAUUUGAUCAAAUAUGCCCAAAUUCGAAAAAUUCAAAAAAUCCGAAAUUAAAAGAAAAAUUCCAUGAGUGAGGUUUCACCAAAAAAUCAACUAUGGUUUACAAGGAAAUGCAUAAUCAUAGGCUCUGAUACCAAUUGAUGAAACAAAAACAAAUUUUAUGCCCUUAAUCGUGCAUUUCCAAAUUAAACACAUAGUUUAGGAAAUUUCGAAAUUACCGUGAUCUCCCAUGAAUCCAACCUUGAAAGCUUGUUAUGGAGCCUCAAGAGAGUUGCUACUUGCUUGAUCUAGCUUCUGAAUUCAGUUUCCAUUGCUUCAGCUCACGGAUCGGCUUUGCUUCUCUAAGUUACUGUACACACAAACACACACACGGGAGUUAACUCUCAAUGGGCUGAAGUUACUUAAAUACAGCGGUUGAGCGCAGGGACCCCUCAUGUGUUAGUACAAAAUUGACAAUAAAAUCUAGAACUCCUCGAGCCUAUACAAUAGCCAAUAAAAUGACCACUAAUGGUUUUCGGAUCAAGUUUCCUUGAUUGUGGAUUAUAGGGCCUCACUUCUGCUUUGCAUCCCCAGACAUGGAAAUGAUGAAGACUAGGUCUCUUCCCUGACCACAACUCAUAAGGAGUUUUGGGCACCGAUUUACUAGGUACCUGAUUCAAAAUGUAAGCUGCAGUUCUUAAGACUUCACCCCACAGAAAAUCUGGUAAGGUGGAGUUACACAGCAUACACCGCAUCAUGUCAAGAAGGGUACGAUUUCUCCUUUCUGCAAUUCCAUUCUGUUCAAGAGUUCCAGGCAUUGUAUACUGGGCUUCUAUUCCACAUUCUUGAAGAAAACGAGCAAAAGGUCCAGGAUUACGCCCAGUUUCAUCAUAUCGCCCAUAGUACUCACCACCUCUGUCUGAUCUUACUGCUUUAAUUUUCUUGCCAUUUUGGAGCUCAACAUUAGCCUUAAAGGCUUGAAACACAGAUAAAGAUUCAGACUUUUCAACAAGAAGUUCAACAUGACCAUAACGAGAAAAGUCAUCGAUGAACGUGAUGAAGUACUUAUAACCUCCAAUAGCAAUAGGAGUAAAUGGCCCACAAAUGUCUGUAUGUACCAACUCCAGCACCUGUUGACUUCUUUGAGUUCUCUCUUUUUGAAUCCACUCAUAUAUACUUGAUAAUCCUUUUGUUAUUGCUUCCUCAGCUCAUUCUCUCAAACAGUUUUAGCUUCAUUUCUGUUUCUUUUACGAUUGCUUAAGUGUUUCUUUAUCAAGUAUCAGAGUGUUUAGAUAAAUCUUGGGAAGUCUUGGUUGAUUAAUUUCGAUCAAGGUCUAACAACAAAUUAGCAACAUAAAGAGAAAAAGAACAGGAUGGAUUCUAUUUUUCUAUUAUAUGACUUGUGUAUUGAUCAUCCUAAACUUAAUAGAAAUUAAUUAGAACAACCCAAAAAAUAGUUAGACUACCAGCAUAAGCUUAACAAAGAUCGAAAAGCAAACCCUUUAGCUAGCUUAAAUAAAAAUUUUCUAUUUAAUUUCUCAGCUACCAAACAAUAAUUCCCAGAUAUGUCUAUCAAUUAAACAUGCAUGCAUGCAGGCCCCAAAAUAAAUUUAAACACAUAAUGGUGCUUGCUAGACCCUGGAAAUAUAACACUUUAAAAUUAUGACAAACCAUGGAACAAAAGCAAAAGAGUUCGUCAGAUUAGCAUAUAAUAAUUAAAAAAAAAUCCCACAUAGACAUACUUCAUCAAAUCCCAUAGAUUUAAUAAAUAAAAGAACAAACAAAAUCUACAUUUCAGAUCCAGAAAAAAAUCAAAAACUGAACACCAAUAGUACCAAAUCUCGCUAGUCGUCGACGUGAGACAACCGGUCGGUGAUGGGCGUGGCGUGACACAGAGCUUCAUGGGCGUGGCGUGCAACGAGCUUCGUGGGUGAGAGGGGCAGAGACCAGAGAGCUUCUGGGCCUGAGUGCCAGAGAGAGAGCGGGUGACUGAGUGAGAGAAAGAGAGUAGUAAAGAAUUUAGCUUUUUUAGAUUUUCUAGAUCUA